rnacentral:rRNA from 1 species
AUGACGCUGGAUGCCCUGUGCGCGGCCAGCGACGUCCUCGUCUACGACACCUUCAACGCGGCGGCCGCCGCGAGUGCCGCGCCGGCCGACAGCAGCCUCCUCUUCGGCGAUGAGGCAUGGAUGGCGGGGUCUGCUUCCGCUGCGGCGCCGGCUGUGACGGCGGUGCCGGUGGAAGAAGGGGAGAAGGCGCAGGGGAGGAGGAAGCGGCGGCGGCGGGCGAGGAGCUGCAAGAACCGCGAGGACGCCGAGAGCCAGCGGAUGACCCACAUUGCCGUCGAGCGCAACCGCCGGCGCCAGAUGAACGAGUACCUCGCCGCGCUCCGCUCCCUCAUGCCGGAGUCCUACGCCCACCGGGGCGACCAGGCAUCCAUUGUCGGCGGCGCCAUCGAUUUCGUCAAGGAGCUCGAGCAGCUGCUGCAGUCCCUGGAGGCGCAGAAGCGCACGCUCCUGGCGCAGCCGGAGCAGGAGCACAAGCCGCUGCCCAUCCGUGACGCCAUGCCAUCGUCGAGCACCACCGUCGCGGCCGCGGCCGCGGCCACGACGACGAGCACCGAUGAGGGCAAGCAGGCUGCGGCGACGCACGACACGACGGGGCCCCCGUUCGCGGGGUUCUUCACGUACCCGCAGUACGUGCGCCUCCUCCCACCGCGGGACGACGCCGACGACCGCGCCGGGGCGGCGGACAUCGAGGUGACCCUGGUGGAGACGCACGCCAGCGUCCGGGUGAUGGCGCCGCGGCGGCCGGGGCAGCUGCUCAGGAUGGUCGCCGGGAUGGAGGCGCUCAGGCUCACCGUCCUGCACCUCAACGUCACCACGCUCGGCUCGCUCGCGCUCUACUCCCUCAGCGUCAAGGUGGAGGAAGGGUGCGGGCUGACAACGGCGGACGAUAUCGCGGCGGCGGUGCACCAUGUGCUCUGCCUCGUCGACGCCGAGGAGACGUCGCAGCGGCUGCCGGCCGGUGGGCAGCAGGAGAUUUUAAGUUAG